rnacentral:lncRNA from 1 species
UGUCACGCCCCGGGACCGGCGAAGGCCCUCCCGGUAGCGUAUCCAGACCCGCCAUAUGUCUACACAUAUAAGGCGUCUACAACAAAAGCGGAAGUAAAGCAAGAGAUAGAACAAAUGAAAGAAGUGAAAUAAUGAGCAACUAAUGAUAUCAGAGCGAGUAAAGUUCUGUCAUCUAUACUAAAGUAUAGGAAUAAAGCUAGACAAUAAAAGAAACCGUAAGUUAUACAGUAUCAGCCUCUAAUACAAAAAUAGUGGUCACUAGUACACUGGUAAAACUCUCAACCUCUCCAAAAUAAAACACAACGAGAGGUAGACCACCUAGCGAAUCGUCCUCGAAGGAAGCUAGCUCGAAGCAACUCCCUUCCCGCGGUCCCUGGCCUCACCCUGAGUGGAAGGCUCUGAAAAACAUCGAGAAAAAGAGGGCGUGAGAACUAUAAUUUAUAGUUCCCAGUGGGCAAUUACUGACCUCAGCUCCUGCUCCACUAGGCCCCAAAAACAAGGAUAAGUAAUGCUAAUAGCAAUAAGCAAUAAAAAGGAGCAUGUAAAUAAACUGCUGAAAGAGAGUGCAUAAGUAAAAUGCUAUACUACUAUAUCCCUCAUAAGCACGAUGUCAAAAUGUUAUACAUCUAUUCUAUCAUAAGGAAAAGUAACCAAUGGCAAUAGUUUACUAUUACAACCCUUUAUUCAAACAUGAUGUAUAAGCUCUAUCAUGGCAACCAAGUAUACUGUGAUGAAAUAGGUAACUGUCAAGUAUACUAUAUGUCUCAACCCUAUGCUAUAUGCAUGUAAAUGUAAUCCAACUACUAAGCCU